rnacentral:tRNA from 1 species
UAGGCAGAAGCCAGUGGGCUAAGGCGYUUAGCUGUUAACUAAAACUUUACGGGAUCGAAGCCCGUCUGUCUAG